rnacentral:rRNA from 1 species
GAUGAACGCUGGCGGCGUGCCUAAUACAUGCAAGUCGAGCGAACAGACGAGGAGCUUGCUCCUCUGACGUUAGCGGCGGACGGGUGAGUAACACGUGGAUAACCUACCUAUAAGACUGGGAUAACUUCGGGAAACCGGAGCUAAUACCGGAUAAUAUAUUGAACCGCAUGGUUCAAUAGUGAAAGACGGUUUUGCUGUCACUUAUAGAUGGAUCCGCGCCGCAUUAGCUAGUUGGUAAGGUAACGGCUUACCAAGGCAACGAUGCGUAGCCGACCUGAGAGGGUGAUCGGCCACACGGGAACUGAGACACGGUCCAGACUCCUACGGGAGGCAGCAGUAGGGAAUCUUCCGCAAUGGGCGAAAGCAUGACGGAGCAACGCCGCGUGAGUGAUGAAGGUCUUCGGAUCGUAAAACUCUGUUAUUAGGGAAGAACAAAUGUGUAAGUAGCUAUGCACGUCUUGACGGUACCUAAUCAGAAAGCCACGGCUAACUACGUG